rnacentral:rRNA from 1 species
AAGUCGAGCGAGCAGACGAGGAGCUUGCUCCUCUGACGUUAGCGGCGGACGGGUGAGUAACACGUGGGUAACCUACCUAUAAGACUGGGAUAACUCCGGGAAACCGGGGCUAAUACCGGAUAACACAUGAAACCGCAUGGUUUCAUGAUGAAAGACGGUUUUGCUGUCACUUAUAGAUGGACCCGCGGCGUAUUAGCUAGUUGGUAAGGUAACGGCUUACCAAGGCAACGAUACGUAGCCGACCUGAGAGGGUGAUCGGCCACACUGGAACUGAGACACGGUCCAGACUCCUACGGGAGGCAGCAGUAGGGAAUCUUCCGCAAUGGGCGAAAGCCUGACGGAGCAACGCCGCGUGAGUGAUGAAGGUCUUCGGAUCGUAAAACUCUGUUAUUAGGGAAGAACAAGGAUGUAAGUAACUGUGCAUCCCUUGACGGUACCUAAUCAGAAAGCCACGGCUAACUACGUGCCAGCAGCCGCGGUAAUACGUAGGUGGCAAGCGUUAUCCGGAAUUAUUGGGCGUAAAGCGCGCGUAGGCGGUUUUUUAAGUCUGAUGUGAAAGCCCACGGCUCAACCGUGGAGGGUCAUUGGAAACUGGAAAACUUGAGUGCAGAAGAGGAAAGUGGAAUUCCAUGUGUAGCGGUGAAAUGCGCAGAGAUAUGGAGGAACACCAGUGGCGAAAGCGACUUUCUGGUCUGCAACUGACGCUGAUGUGCGAAAGCGUGGGGAUCAAACAGAUUAGAUACCCUGGUAGUCCACGCCGUAACGAUGA